UACGAAGGGGGCUAGCGUUGCUCGGAAUUACUGGGCGUAAAGGGCGCGUAGGCGGCACUGUUAGUCAGGCGUGAAAGUCCUGGGCUCAACCUGGGAACUGCGCUUGAUACGGCAGAGCUAGAGGAUGGAAGAGGCUCGCGGAAUUCCCAGUGUAGAGGUGAAAUUCGUAGAUAUUGGGAAGAACACCAGUGGCGAAGGCGGCGAGCUGGUCCAUUACUGACGCUGAGGCGCGACAGCGUGGGGAGCAAACAGG
rnacentral:rRNA from 1 species